rnacentral:lncRNA from 1 species
CAACAGGUCUUCAAAAUCUCUGAGGAAAUUGCAAUUCUAACCCCUGCAUUCCUCUUGGAAUCAAUUACCUGACUGCAAGUAUUACGAAGUCGCUUACUUUUAUAGUUAGGGGCACAAGACCUAAGUUAGUGUUCUUCAAAACAUCGCCUCUAAGAAGGCAAGUGAAGCUGAAGACUAUAAACAUGAAGAGGAUGUGAACACGACACCUGAAGCAGGGUGACGCCAGCCCAUUCUGUCCACUCCAUAAGGAUAGCCCUUGUUCCAUUCGGUCCAGUAUACAUAUUUCCACAUGAUGCUGAGAUUGGGGCAGCAGUCAAAGAAGUGAAGAACUGCAGGGUGUUGUAAAAAGAUCAGACUUAUGGCCAGGCGCAGUGGCUGAUGCCUGUAAUCACAGCACUUUUGGAGGCAAGGCGGACAGAUCACGAAGUCAGGAGUUCGAGACCAG